CCUACGGGGGGCUGCAGUGGGGAAUAUUGGACAAUGGGGGCAACCCUGAUCCAGCCAUGCCGCGUGUGUGAAGAAGGCCCUCGGGUUGUAAAGCACUUUCAGUGAGGAAGAACGCCUGGUGGUUAAUACCCAUCAGGAAAGACAUCACUCACAGAAGAAGCACCGGCUAACUCCGUGCCAGCAGCCGCGGUAAUACGGAGGGUGCGAGCGUUAAUCGGAAUUACUGGGCGUAAAGCGCGCGUAGGUGGCUUGAUAAGCCGGUUGUGAAAGCCCCGGGCUCAACCUGGGAACGGCAUCCGGAACUGUCAAGCUAGAGUGCAGGAGAGGAAGGUAGAAUUCCCGGUGUAGCGGUGAAAUGCGUAGAGAUAGGGAGGAAUACCAGUGGCGAAGGCGGCCUUCUGGACUGACACUGACACUGAGGUGCGAAAGCGUGGGUAGCAAACAGGAUUAGAUACCCCGGUAGUC
rnacentral:rRNA from 1 species